rnacentral:rRNA from 1 species
AUGGCUCAGGAUGAACGCUAGCGGCAGGCUUAACACAUGCAAGUCGAGGGGCGAAGCGGGAUGUAGCAAUACAUGCCGGCGACCGGCGGAUGGGUGCGUAACGCGUAUGCAACCUACCUUAUACAGGGGAAUAACCUUUCGAAAGGGAGACUAACACCCCAUAGUAUUGAUUUAAGGCAUCUUAGAUUAAUUAAAUAUUUAUAGGUAUAAGAUGGGCAUGCGUAUGAUUAGCUAGUUGGUAAGGUAACGGCUUACCAAGGCGACGAUCAUUAGGGGUUCUGAGAGGAAGGUCCCCCACACUGGUACUGAGACACGGACCAGACUCCUACGGGAGGCAGCAGUGAGGAAUAUUGGUCAAUGGGCGCAAGCCUGAACCAGCCAUGCCGCGUGCAGGAAAGACGGCCUUAUGGGUUGUAAACUGCUUUUACAUAAGACUAACCGUAUAUUUGCGAAUAUACCUGAAUGUAUUAUGAGAAUAAGGAUCGGCUAACUCCGUGCCAGCCGCAGC